AGGGCAAGUCUGGUGCCAGCAGCCGCGGUAAUUCCAGCUCCAAUAGCGUAUAUUAAAGUUGUUGCAGUUAAAAAGCUCGUAGUUGAAUUUCGGGGUCAGCAGGUUGGUCGUGCCAAUGGUAUGCACUGGCCUUGCUGAUUCCUCCCUCUUGAUGAGCCGUAAUGCCAUUAAUUUGGUGUUGUGGGGAAUCAGGACUGCUACUUUGAAAAAAUUAGAGUGUUUAAAGCAGGCAAGCGCUUGAAUACAUUAGCAUGGAAUAAUGAAAUAGGACGUUCGAUCCUAUUUUGUUGGUUUCUAGGAUUGACGUAAUGAUUAAUAGGGAUAGUCGGGGGCAUUAGUAUUCAAUUGUCAGAGGUGAAAUUCUUGGAUUUAUUGAAGACUAACUACUGCGAAAGCAUUUGCCAAGGAUGUUUUCAUUAAUCAAGAACGAAAGUUAGGGGAUCGAAGACGAUCAGAUACCGUCGUAGUCUUAACCAUAAACUAUGCCGACUAGGGAUCGGAUGAUGUUAAUUUUUUAAUGACUCAUUCGGCGCCUUACGGGAA
rnacentral:rRNA from 1 species